AGGAGACUGGAGAGCUGCGGUGGGGAGGGGUCAGCUGUGGCCACGUGAGGGCCAGGGCCAGGCCUCAGUGGCCAGGCCCCUCUCUGGCUGCCCAGGCUGCAUCCACACAGAAGAUUCCAUGGCUUUCCAUAAAAGAGAGUGGGAGAAUGUCCUCUCUAAAGGCCUGCGGAGUGCCUGGGGAGAGGAGACAGCCUCAGCCGGGGCUCACCAGCCAGCAGCUGCCAGCCAGGCCAGCAAUGCCAAGGCACCCGGCGUUCCUGGAAGCCAAGCCCUGUUUGAUCUAAUGGGGCAGCUGUGGGUGCAGACCCAGAUAAAGAGACAAACCCAGACCCAGAAACCUGGGGGAGGAGGUGGGAGCAACAAUCUCUCUUCCGCCUCCUUCACAGUGAGAGGAAAGGAAGCGGGAUGCCAUAGUUGUGGCUGGGACUGCUGGACCCCGCACGCCAGCCCUGGGAGGGCACUCGGCCACCAUCAUCAUCAUCAUCAUCAUCAUCAUCAUCAUCAUCAUCAUCAUCACCAUCCUCAUCAUCGUCUUCAUC